rnacentral:rRNA from 1 species
UCACGUCGAUGAAGAACGCAGCUAGCUGCGAGAACUAAUGUGAAUUGCAGGACACAUUGAUCGUCGACACUUCGAACGCACCUUGCGGCCCCGGGUUCCUCCCGUGGCUACGCCUGUCUGAGGGUCG